UCCCUGGUGGCUCAUAUGGUAAAGAAUCUGCCUGCAAUGCAGGAGAACCCAGGUUCGAUCCUUGGGUGGGGAA
rnacentral:tRNA from 1 species